CUGCUUUCUCUGGGCUGAGCAGUUGCUGUGCUGGAGGUCCCCUCGGAGGCAGUUUGUGCGGUUGGUGACAGAGCAGAGCUGGGAGCAGGGCUGCCCCUCUGCAGAAACACACGGGCACUUGGAGCCCGAACAGUUGGAGACUGUCAAUAUUGGGAUUUGCAGGACUCCUGGAGUUCGGCUUCGAUUUGCAGGAAUACUGCAUUUCUGGGUUGGCUGAAGAACAGAUGGUUCUCAAGAGAAAUAUCCCCUUAAGUGCACAGUAAAGCAAACUCAAAAGAUUCAUCAACCGUGCUUUAAUGUGGGCUCGAGGUAUCACCAAAGUCAUUAACCAGUGCAGAGAAAAGAUCUGAAGACCUCAAAUGAAGAUGGGAGAAACAUGUAACAAACAGAACUGGAAAUAAGUACUUCUUUUGGCUUCUGGUUUUGAUCUCUGUUGUUUUAGUUUUAGCUCUAUACCGUGUAUCCCCUUCUUACAGUUCUAGCUUUAGUCCUGUCAGUAUCAGCAGUUUAAAAAUUAGUCUGGACUGAAAGCUUCCUGCUCUUCUUUGUAAAGAAAUAAUUCUGAGUUUGCUGGUCACUGAAGACAUCUUAUGCUUUGCAAUGUCUCCCUACUCUUAGCAGUUUAGAAUGGUAGCAACAGACAUUAAUCUGUACCCUUAUACAACUGGGUUUUGUAAAACCAGUAUCUUGGUAUGGGUGAAACAAAAGAACUUAAGGAUUUAAUAGAGAGAGAUUUCCCCAAUUGUAUUUCAUAUUUUGAACACACUGCUUGCACCACAACUGUUUCCCAACUUCCAUGAAAAGAAUGAGUAAAGCUUUGAUUAAA